CCAAGGCACAUUGUAAGAGCUGUAAAGAGAGAGGGACUCUGAGAGAGAACAGGCAGAACCUGAUAUGUAAAUGAGCAGAGCAAACGAAAGUAACUUUCAACGACCAAAUGAUCAUUCAGACUCUGUUUCUAUUGAGAGAUAAAAGGCUGGUUGAAUGAGUUGCCUGUGAAAGCUACUUCAUCUGCAAGAAAACAGGCGGCUGCACCAGUGACUGGGUCAGUGCUCUAAAAUGAGUCUCUCUGGGAAGAGAGAGGAGGGGGGCCCUGCCUCUAAAAUGCAUCUCUCUGGGGGACAUGACACCAAAGCUAAGAGGUAAGAUGACAAUUUUAUGAAGAAUUUAUUAACUUUAUUUCCAAAAUAAAUAGCUAUCUUAAGAUGAAUGCAUUUACUGUAAAUCUCUCUGGAUAAGAGCAUCUGCUAAAUCAGGGGUUCUCAAUCCGGGGUCUGUGGAGGUACUGCAGGGGCUCCAUGGCACCCUAACUGUACUCGUUGCAAUGUAACACAUUUGAUAGAAUUUUCACAUGACACGACCACUUUGCCUACUCUUAAUUAUUGCCUAAUAUAAUGGAAUGCAUAUUUUCUUUACCAAUUCUGAUCGUUGUUACAAGAAGAAUUUUGACAAUAUUCCCGUUAUAUCAACACACUCUUCACACCCGUUUAACAACUCUAAAUAGCUUUGGCAUAGUAGGCAUCAAGUCCCUUGCCAAUAAUGUUGCCUGCAACGUUGCAUACAAUGUUCAUUUUCAUCGAACACAGAUUACGCCCUAGAUGUCUUCAAUUGCCCAAUUUAUAGCCAUGCCCAAUUUAGGAUCAUUUUUUUAACAAUGUGAUGUUGCGCUCCAAAGGGAUAACUUGAAAUAACAUGAUGUGGAUAAUUAAAUAAUCAAAAGAAAAACGUGUUUAUUUUACACUCUUAGAAAAGAAGGUUCCUUAUAGAACCAAAAAGGCUUCUAUCACUUCCUUAAUAUAUGGAAUCACUAAAAGUGAUAUAUAUUUUGGGGUUCAGUGAAGAAGAACCUCUAGAGUUCU